rnacentral:rRNA from 1 species
GACGAACGCUGGCGGCGUGCUUAACACAUGCAAGUCGAACGGAAAGGCCCUGCUUUUGUGGGGUGCUCGAGUGGCGAACGGGUGAGUAACACGUGAGUAACCUGCCCUUGACUUUGGGAUAACUUCAGGAAACUGGGGCUAAUACCGGAUAGGAGCUCCUGCUGCAUGGUGGGGGUUGGAAAGUUUCGGCUGUUGGGGAUGGACUCGCGGCUUAUCAGCUUGUUGGUGUGGUAGUGGCUUACCAAGGCUUUGACGGGUAGCCGGCCUGAGCGGGUGAACGGCGACAAGGGGACUGAGAGACGGCGCAGACGGCUACGGGAGGCAGUAGUGGGGAGUAUUGCACAAUGGGGGGAAGCCUGAGGCAGCAACGCCGCGUGCGGGAUGACGGCCUUCGGGUUGUAAACCGCUUUCGCAUGUGACGAAGCGUGAGUGACGGUAAUGGGUAAAGAAGCACCGGCUAACUACGUG